rnacentral:rRNA from 1 species
GAUGAACGCUGGCGGCGUGCCUAAUACAUGCAAGUCGAGCGAACAGACGAGGAGCUUGCUCCUCUGACGUUAGCGGCUGACGGGUGAGUAACACGUGGAUCACCUACUUAUAAGACUGGGAUAACUUCGGGAAACCGGAGCUACUACCGGCUAAUAUAUUGUACCGCAUGGUUCAAUAGUUAAAGACGGUUUUGCUGUCACUUUUAGAUGGAUUCGCGCCGCAUUAGCUAGUUGGUAAGGUAACGGCUUACCAAGGCAACGGUGCGUAGCCGACCUGAGAGGGUGAUCGGCCACACUGGAACUGAGACACGGUCCAGACUCCUACGGGAGGCAGCAGUAGGGAAUCUUCCGCAAAGGGCGAAAGCCUGACGGAGCAACGCCGCGUGAGUGAUGAAGGUCUUCGGAUCGUAAAACUCUGUUAUUAGGAAAGAACAAAUGUGUAAGUAACUACGCACGUCUUGACGGUACCUAAACAGAAAGCCACGGCUAACUACGUG